rnacentral:rRNA from 1 species
UACAGGGGGGGGCAAGCGUUGUUCGGAUUUACUGGGCGUAAAGGGCGCGCAGGCGGCCGCAUUUGUCAGGCGUGAAAGCCCCGGGCUUAACCUGGGAACUGCGUUUGAUACGGUGUGGCUAGAGUUCGGGAGAGGAGAGUGGAAUUCCCAGUGUAGAGGUGAAAUGCGUAGAAUAUCUGGAGGAAUACCGGUGGCGAAGGCGGCGAUCC